UACAGAGGGGGCAAGCGUUAUUCGGAAUUAUUGGGCGUAAAGGCGCGUAGGCGGCCAUUCAAGUGACGGGUGAAAGCCCUCGGCUUAACCGAGGAACUGCCUGUCAGACUGGAUGGCUUGAGACCGGGAGAGGUGAGUGGAAUUCCCAGUGUAGCGGUGAAAUGCGUAGAUAUCGGGAGGAACACCAGUGGCGAAGGCGACUUCCUGGCCUGUUCUUGACGCUGAGGCGCGAAAGCUAGGGGAGCAAACGGG
rnacentral:rRNA from 1 species